GACAGAGGAUGCAAGCGUUAUCCGGAAUCGAUUGGGCGUAAAGCGUCUGUAGGUGGCUUUUUAAGUCCGCCGUCAAAUCCCAGGGCUCAACCCUGGAACAGGGCGGUGGAAACCUACCAAGCUGGAGUACGGUAGGGGGCAGAGGGAAUUUCCGGUGGAGCGGUGGAAAUGCGUUAGAGAUCGGAAAGAACACCAACGGCGAAAGCACUCUGCUGGGCCGACACUGACACUGAGAGACGAAAGCUAGGGGAGCGAAUGGGA
rnacentral:rRNA from 1 species